GAUGAACGCUAGCGGCAGGCUUAAUACAUGCAAGUCGAGGGGCAGCAUGACUGUAGCAAUACAGUUGAUGGCGACCGGCAAACGGGUGCGGAACACGUACAGAACCUUCCUUUAAGUGGUGAAUAGCCCAGAGAAAUUUGGAUUAAUACACCGUAACAUAUAGAGUUGGCAUCAAUUUUAUAUUAUAGCUCCGGCGCUUAAAGAUGGCUGUGCGGCUGAUUAGGUAGUUGGCGGGGUAACGGCCCACCAAGCCUACGAUCAGUAACUGGUGUGAGCGGAAGACCAGUCCAAAGGGCACUGAGACACGGGCCCUAGUCCUACGGGAGGCAUCAGUAAGGAAUAUUGGUCAAUGGACGCAAGUCUGAACCAGCCAUGCCGCGUGGAGGAUGAUGGUCCUCUGGAUUGUAAACUUCUUUUCUCUGGGGCGAAAACCACCCAUUCUUGGGAGCUUGACAGUACCAGAGGAAUAAGCACCGGCUAACUCCGUGCCAGCAGCCGCAGUAAGAC
rnacentral:rRNA from 1 species